rnacentral:rRNA from 1 species
GAUGAACGCUGGCGGCGUGCCUAAUACAUGCAAGUCGAGCGAACAGAUGAGGAGCUUGCUCCUCUGACGUUAGCGGCGGACGGGUGAGUAACACGUGGAUAACCUACCUAUAAGACUGGGAUAACUUCGGGAAACCGGAGCUAAUACCGGAUAAUAUAUUGAACCGCAUGGUUCACUAGUGAAAGACGGUUUUGCUGUCACUUAUAGAUGGAUCCGCGCCGCAUUAGCUAGUUGGUAAGGUAACGGCUUACCAAGGCAACGAUGCGUAGCCGACCUGAGAGGGUGAUCGGCCACACUGGAACUGAGACACGGUCCAGACUCCUGCGGGAGGCAGCAGUAGGGAAUCUUCCGCAAUGGGCGAAAGCCUGACGGAGCAACGCCGCGUGAGUGAUGAAGGUCUUCGGAUCGUAAAACUCUGUUAUUAGGGAAGAACAAAUGUGUAAGUAACUAUGCACGUCUUGACGGUACCUAAUCAGAAAGCCACGGCUAACUACGUG